GUUUUGGGUCCACGAGUUCUGCUUGCUUUUUGCCAACAUCUCUUUUGAUGAAAGCUCCACACAGGAGGGAACUGUGGGCAUUGACCCAGCUGCCCUCACACGCAAAGUCAAGCAGGCAAACCAGAAGCAAUGCUGUGUUUGCGGCGAGAGGGGGGCUGCCAUCACAU